ensembl:lincRNA Gm43733 predicted gene 43733
UGACAUCUGCUCCCUGAGAGGUGACGUGGGAAGUCCUGCACUGUGAGUCCAUUGAGUAGGACACACCCAGGCCUCUUCUUUUCUCCAGGAUAUGUGCAAGAUGAGAGCCAGCCAUCGUCUCCUGAUAGUGGAGAUUUGAUCUGAAGCAUUCAAAUAGGAAAUGAAUGCUCAGAGGAAGCUUCAAAUUUCUUUCUACUUGAAGAAGCUGAAUUGCAGAAGCUAUCUCUGUCCUGUUAAUCACCGGGUCCACAGUGAAACCAGCCAACUUCAGAGAAGACUCUUGUGCUGCGUGACCCCUGACUGUAACCAAGUGUCCUUCUCUCUGAGACGUUCCCUCGGAGCUUGUUCUCACAGCCCUCACCUCCAGUGACCUCCACGAACUUUUCCACACGAGGGGUUCUCUGCUUCCCUCCAUCUGAGCUGCGCAAUUCCACCAGGCCUUU